rnacentral:rRNA from 1 species
GCCUAAACCCGCAAGGGGAGGCNCGUCCACCGUAGGUAGUCAGCGACUGGGGUG